CUACCAGACUCCUACGGGAGGCAGCAGUAGGGAAUCUUUCACAAUGGGCGAAAGCCUGAUGGAGCAACGCCGCGUGCAGGAUGAAGGCCUUCGGGUUGUAAACUGCUUUUAUAAGCGAGAAAUAUGAUGGUAACUUAUGAAUAAGGAUCGGCUAACUACGUGCCAGCAGCCGCGGUAAUACGUAGGGAGCAAGCGUUGUCCGGAAUUACUGGGCGUAAAGGGCGCGUAGGUGGGCGCUUAAGUCAGGUGUGAAAACUCCGGGCUCAACCUGGAGACUGCACUUGAAACUGGGUGUCUUGAGGGCAGGAGAGGAAAGUGGAAUUCCUAGUGUAGCGGUGAAAUGCGUAGAUAUUAGGAGGAACACCAGUGGCGAAGGCGGAUUACUGGACGAUAACUGACGGUGAGGCGCGAAAGCGUGGGGAGCAAACAGGAUUAGAUACCCGGGUACC
rnacentral:rRNA from 1 species